GACGAACGCUGGCGGCGUGCCUAAUACAUGCAAGUCGAGCGAAUCAAUAGGAGCUUGCUCCUGUUGGUUAGCGGCGGACGGGUGAGUAACACGUGGGCAACCUGCCUGUAAGACUGGGAUAACUUCGGGAAACCGGAGCUAAUACCGGAUAAUCCUUUUCCACUCAUGUGGGAAAGCUGAAAGUCGGUUUCGGCUGACACUUACAGAUGGGCCCGCGGCGCAUUAGCUAGUUGGUGAGGUAACGGCUCACCAAGGCGGCGAUGCGUAGCCGACCUGAGAGGGUGAUCGGCCACACUGGGACUGAGACACGGCCCAGACUCCUACGGGAGGCAGCAGUAGGGAAUCUUCCGCAAUGGACGAAAGUCUGACGGAGCAACGCCGCGUGAGCGAUGAAGGCCUUCGGGUCGUAAAGCUCUGUUGUUAGGGAAGAAUAAGUAUCGGAGUAACUGCCGGUACCUUGACGGUACCUAACCAGAAAGCCACGGCUGACUACGUGCCAGCCGCCGCCGUAA
rnacentral:rRNA from 1 species